rnacentral:rRNA from 1 species
GAUGAACGCUGGCGGCGUGCCUAAUACAUGCAAGUCGAGCGAACGGACGAGAAGCUUGCUUCUCUGAUGUUAGCGGCGGACGGGUGAGUAACACGUGGAUAACCUACCUAUAAGACUGGGAUACCUUCGGGAAACCGGAGCUAAUACCGGAUAAUAUUUUGAACCGCAUUGUUCAAAAGUGAAAGACGGUCUUGCUGUCACUUAUAGAUGGAUCCGCGCUGCAUUAGCUAGUUGGUAAGGUAACGGCUUACCAAGGCAACGAUGCAUAGCCGACCUGAGAGGGUGAUCGGCCACACUGGAACUGAGACACGGCCCAGACUCCUACGGGAGGCAGCAGUAGGGAAUCUUCCGCAAUGGGCGAAAGCCUGACGGAGCAACGCCGCGUGAGUGAUGAAGGUCUUCGGAUCGUAAAACUCUGUUAUUAGGGAAGAACAUAUGUGUAAGUAACUGUGCACAUCUUGACGGUACCUAAUCAGAAAGCCACGGCUAACUACGUG